GCCCCCCCUUGAGAUCCGAACCGGAGGAGUCUCUUAAGCUUGCGUGUUCCUGGCUGCAGUGGCUGCUUUGCGGUAUGGGACGAGCGGGGCCCGAGCGGGCGGAAAUUUGAGAGUAAAUGGAACCUGGAAUUAAGACCCACAGGCAUCGAAGAAAGUGUGGCUCAAUUACCAUCAUAUGUGUGUGCAAUUCCAGACUUUGGUACUUGUAGAGCAGCGGUGACUCCUAUGUUACCGGACAUAUGGAACUUCUCAGACAUCUGAGAUUACAUUUCAGCAGGAGUCAACCUAAGGUUUGCCCUCUACCAUCACAGAUAACUUAGUAAUAAUAGGAAAACUGUGAAAUAUCAAUUGUUUCAAAUGAACAACCCCUCCCCAGUUGGGGAUUGAUGACACCUUCAGUUUCCUCCUAUUCCAUCCCAUUUUGGUUAAAUGGACAGAAAUGCCUAUUAAAAAGUGAGUGCCUUAGAUCACUUCCUGGUAAAACCAAGCAGUAGAUGUUGCUGGCAGAAUAAAUUUCAAAAUAAUUCA